rnacentral:rRNA from 7 species
CAGCCGCGGUAAUUCCAGCUCCAAUAGCGUAUACUUAAGUUGUUGCAGUUAAAAAGCUCGUAGUUGAAAUUCGAGUCAGUUACUAGUUGGCUUUUCGUCAGUUAGUUAAUUGAUUCUCCGUCUACAAUCCCUUUUGCGCUUUAGGGUUGCAGCUGGGCGAGUAGACAAUUUACCUUGAAAAAAUUAGAGUGUUCCAGGCAGGUCUUCGCCGGAAUACAUUAGCAUGGAAUAAUGGAAUAGGACUUGGGUCUUUUGUUGGUUUUAGGACUUGAGUAAUGAUUAAUAGGGACAGAUGGGGGCAUUAGUAUUUAAUUGUCAGAGGUGAAAUUCUUGGAUUUAUUAAAGACUAACUUAUGCGAAAGCAUUUGCCAAGGAUGUUUUCAUUAAUCAAGAACGAAAGUUAGGGGAUCAAAGACGAUCAGAUACCGUCGUAGUCUUAACUAUAAACUAUACCGACUCGAGAUCGGAAGGGUAAUAUAUUAGUCCCUUUCGGCAUCGUAAGAGAA